UACGAAGGGGGCUAGCGUUGCUCGGAAUUACUGGGCGUAAAGGGCGCGUAGGCGGCACUGUUAGUCAGGCGUGAAAUUCCUGGGCUCAACCUGGGGACUGCGCUUGAUACGGCAGAGCUAGAGGAUGGAAGAGGCUCGCGGAAUUCCCAGCGUAGAGGUGAAAUUCGUAGAUAUUGGGAAGAACACCGGUGGCGAAGGCGGCGAGCUGGUCCAUUACUGACGCUGAGGCGCGACAGCGUGGGGAGCAAACAGG
rnacentral:rRNA from 1 species